ensembl:lncRNA
UGAACCCCUCAGUUAGCAAGAUCCUCGCUCCCUCCAGCUUGGACUACAUUACCAACAAACACCAUGUGCCCCAACGUGUGUUGCUCCAGUGGAUGCUGCUCUGUUGUGAAGAGCAAGACAGUGUGCUGCAGCCCCUGUCAGAAGACAGUCUGCUGUGACCCGUGUCAGAAGACUGUCUGCUGUGAGAAGACUGUCUGCUGUGACCCGUGCCAGAAGCCUUGCUGUGACCCAUGCCAGACUUGCUGUGACCCGUGCCAGAAGCCUUGCUGUGACCCAUGCCAGACUUGCUGUGACCCGUGCCAAAAGCCAUGCUGUGACCCAUGCCAGACUUGCUGUGACCCAUGCCAGACUUGCUGUGACCCAUGCCAGAAGCCCUGCUGUGAUCCAUGCCAGCAGUCUGUCUGCUGUGACCCGUGCCAGAAGCCUUGCUGUGACCCAUGCCAGACUUGCUGUGACCCAUGCCAGAAGCCUUGCUGUGACCCGUGCCAGACUUGCUGUGACCCGUGCCAGAAGACCGUCUGCUGUGACCCGUGCCAGACUUGCUGUGACCCGUGCCAGAAGACCGUCUGCUGUGACCCAUGCCAGAAGCCUUGCUGUGACCCAUGCCAGACUUGCUGUGACCCGUGCCAGAAGCCUUGCUGUGACCCGUGCCAGACUUGCUGUGAUCCAUGCCAGAAGCCAUGCUGUGACCCCUGCCAGACUUGCUGUGACCCGUGCCAAAAGCCGUGCUGUGACCCAUGCCAGACUUGCUGUGACCCGUGUCAGAAGACUGUCUGCUGUGACCCGUGCCAGAAGCCUUGCUGUGACCCGUGCCAGACUUGCUGUGACCCGUGCCAGAAGACUGUCUGCUGUGACCCGUGCCAGAAGCCUUGCUGUGACCCCUGCCAGACUUGCUGUGACCCGUGCCAGACUUGCUGUGACCCGUGCCAGAAGACCGUCUGCUGUGACCCAUGCCAGAAGACCGUCUGCUGUGACCCGUGCCAGAAGCCUUGCUGUGAUCCAUGCCAGACUUGCUGUGACCCAUGCCAGAAGCCAUGCUGUGACCCGUGCCAGACUUGCUGUGACCCGUGCCAGAAGCCCUGCUGCAGCUGCUGUAGCCAGCAGUGCCUGCAGACCUGCUGCCGCCCCUGCUGCUGCUCUGGCCGUCUGUCCUGCUGCUCCUACGUGGUGAAGAAGAAGCCCGUUGUGGUGUGUUGCAGCCCCGUGCAGUACUGCUCCCCGCUGAGGAAGUGCUGCGUACCCAUCAGGCAGUGCUGCACCACCGUCAAGAAGUGCUGCUGAACCUGCCCUGCAUAGGAGAAACAGGCACAAGGGGAUGGAGACCUGACCUUCCUUCUGUUUCACACGAUGAUGGAGUGCAUGCCUACUGAUUUUCUUCUGGUUUCCAAAUUGAAGCUGUCAUCUUCCUUCUUUCACACUGUCUUUUAAUUAUCAAAGAUCUGCAAUGCACUUGGAUAUGUCACCCAUUGUACGAGGCAUGGAGAUCUUACAUAUUCAUUCUCUUCUUGGUGUAUGGGACAUGGGAAACAUUUGCUAUUAGUGCAGUCAUUCUGUAUUUUCUCUCUUGACUUGUAGACAAUAAAACUUGGCAUUAAGCAAAACACAAAAUAUCUUGUUGCUUGGUUGUUCUUACCUCGUAUUGCCUUGAACGUGUCCUUGUCCUGGUGCCAUGUUCCAAGUCAUCAUCAGCCUCCUGAGGGCCAACAUGUGCUUCCAUUGCAAGGCAGAAC